UUAGUUUGAUCUAAGUCUUUAUUUUGUUUUCUCUAUUAUUCAUCAUGACCAAUGGUAUGUCAUCAAUAUGGAGUCCAAACACAAAAGAGAUGUGCCACAUGUUCAACACAGAUUCAACAUUACAUGCGACCAGAUAUCAAGAAAUUCUAAAGAUUUGAACAUAAGGUAAGUAAAAUCAUUUCAUCCAUAUGUUAAGAAAUUUAAGAUUAAAACAUUAAAGUAAAGAUUAUAACGUAACUUCUGAACAAUAAUUUAUGUAUGAAACAAUAAUUUAUGUAAAAUCCAUUAUAAGUAUGAAACAAAUAAUUAUGUAAAUGAUUUUAAACCAAUUCCUUUUACCUCUGAACAAAGUAUCAUGACAGAACUUGAUAAUGAUACAAACUGGUUCUUUUGGUUUUGUACUAAGAUAAUCAUUCAACUGAUCUGCAUAUUUUCCCCACAAUGAGCAUGAAAGAGUUUUUUGCCUGUAUACAUGGAAAAGAAACAUAAAUAUUCGAUUUUCAUAAAAAAUAUGCAAUUAAUGUUUGAAAAAUAAUUACUCCUGAUCUUCAAUGACGAUUUCCAUCAAUUUUGUUGGUUUUCCAUUUGUUUCCUUCAAUUGUGGCCUAUAACUUGAUACAAUGAUUCCCAUAAUAUCUAUAAAGAGAUAAAAAAAAAUAUUAGUUAUAGUAUUGAUUCAAACUUGUGUAAAAAAUUCGAAAUAAAUUACUUACCAAAUAAC
rnacentral:lncRNA from 1 species